rnacentral:misc_RNA from 1 species
GAUGAAGAACGCAGCGAAAUGCGAUAAGUAAUGUGAAUUGCAGAAUUCAGUGAAUCAUCGAAUCUUUGAACGCACAUUGCGCCCGCCAGUAUUCUGGCGAGCAUGCCUGUCCGAGCGUCAUUUCAACCCUCGAACCCCUCCGGGGGGUCGGCGUUGGGGAUCGGCCCUGCCUUUGGCGGUGGCCGUCUCCGAAAUACAGUGGCGGUCUCGCCGCAGCCUCUCCUGCGCAGUAGUUUGCACACUCGCAUCGGGAGCGCGGCGCGUCCACAGCCGUUAAACACCCAACUUCUGAAAUGUUGACCUCGGAUCAGGUAGGAAUACCCGCUGAACUUAAGCAUAUCAAUAAGCGGAGGA